rnacentral:snoRNA from 1 species
UCUGGUUGUCAAUGAUGACUGAACUUUUUUCCCCAGCAGAUCGACAAGUUGAAUGUAGGUUACUUUAGCCAAACUUUGUCUGAUUCACCAGA